rnacentral:rRNA from 1 species
UACAGAGGGUGCGAGCGUUGUCCGGAAUCACUGGGCGUAAAGGGCGCGUAGGCGGCUUGAUAAGCGUGCGGUGAAAGCCCGGGGCUCAACCCCGGGUCGGCCGUGCGAACUGUCGAGCUGGAGCACUGUAGAGGCAGGUGGAAUUCCGGGUGUAGCGGUGGAAUGCGUAGAGAUCCGGAAGAACACCGGUGGCGAAGGCGGCCUUCUGGACAGUGACUGACGCUGAGACGCGAAAGCGUGGGGAGCAAACAGG